UAGUAAUUGGUUUUGACAAUAAUACUAGAAGCUGUUUAUGCUGCGAUAUUCAAGUUAGUUGCUUAUUUUUCUCCUCUGCUUGGCGAGUCCUUUCUCUUUGCAUGAGAGGUUUUCUCACUUUGUGUGAGUUCUUCCAAUUCUGGCAACUCGUUCAACCGCCGGCCUUAGCUUUGGCCAUGGUCGGUGGCAGCCCCCUUCCCUUUUCUUUUCUUGUUCCCCCUCUGUCUACUCUCUGUUUCCCAGUCCCUCGUGCCUCUUAUUUAACCGUUCUUUGCCCCGAUCAGAAAGUUUCCAUUUCCGAACUUUUUCUUCUUCUCUCGCUGUCUUUCCACCUUCAUGCUUUCAAUCACUUUCUUUUCUUUCUCUCCCACUUGGCUUCGCCCUCUCUCGAUUCCACAAUUGAUCUGAUCUGCAACCUUUUCGUUCCACCGUGUUUCGCGACUUUAUCACAAGUUUCCUUUCCUUGGUGGCUGCGAAUUCGUUCUUAUGCAGGGAGGCUGGUUCGUGAUCGGCGGCAAGUGCUCCGGCGGCGGUAGAGGAACCGGGACGGGGUUUCUUUCUGCGUUUUUCUGUUUUGGGAUAAACUCUUAGGUAAAACAGUGCAUGUAAAACGGUGUCGUUAUACUUGAUCAAAAUUGGAUAUGACGCUGGCUAAAACGAUGUUGUUA